rnacentral:misc_RNA from 1 species
AUUAUUCAACAAUAUUUAUGAGUAGCUUGGCUAGGCCUAAUAUGUGCUCCGUUGUGGAUAAAAGCCAUUCCACUUAUUGUGCCUGCAAGAUUAACAUUUCAUCUACCAGGAAUGCAGAAGAAUAAAGGAUAGUUGGCAGUCCAACUGUUUUGAGUUGUCCUUUUAUUCUGAUAUUUUGCAAAAUUUAGGUUCAGACAUUUGACAACAAGCUUACAUUACAUGCCCAUGAACAGGUAGAUACCCUAGGAUGCCAUAACAUUACAAAUGUCAUUCAGAUCACAAUCUAAUUUCUUCCCUUGGUCAUCCACAAAAAAUGACAGCAUGUAAGCUUACAAUACUUACCAUGCUCUCAUUGAAGCUCAAUA